rnacentral:rRNA from 1 species
CAGUCGCCGCGGUAAUACGUAGGUGGCAAGCGUUGUCCGGAAUUAUUGGGCGUAAAGGGCUCGCAGGCGGUUUCUUAAGUCUGAUGUGAAAGCCCCCGGCUCAACCGGGGAGGGUCAUUGGAAACUGGGAAACUUGAGUGCGGAAGAGGAGAGUGGAAUUCCACGUGUAGCGGUGAAAUGCGUAGAGAUGUGGAGGAACACCAGUGGCGAAGGCGACUCUCUGGUCUGUAACUGACGCUGAGGAGCGAAAGCGUGGGGAGCGAACAGGAUUAGAUACCCCAGUAGUCCCUGUCUCUUAUAC